GAGAAUGUGGGACCCUGAUGUAACAUUUGUUAGCCUAUUGAUUGCCAGGGUCAGCUGAUCUGCUAGAGAGGUAGGUGCCCCUUCUCUCCCUCAUUGCUCCAUGUGCACGUCUACCGAAGCUCCUUGAUUUAUUGGUGGAAUAGGACAGCAAGACCACCUCGAUAGAGGGGGCCAUUUUUCAAUCAAAAGUACAGUACUAGCUGUGCUCAUCUGGAAGAAACCCCAAAGAUGCUCUCAAAGAGAUGGGAGCAUAAAUCCCAGGGCAGAAAGCCCAAACUCCCAGGCCCAUUUUGGGGGCUGUAUUUUGA
rfam:Mesocricetus auratus contig097693, whole genome shotgun sequence.